rnacentral:lncRNA from 1 species
UUUUGGAAGGUCAAGUAGUUGAAAUUCAAACAAAGAAAGAUUAUUUCAAACCUUUUAUCAUGAACUCUCUGUUUAGCUACUUUAAUGUGUACAAUGUUCAUCGUAUGGUGCACAGUAAGACAGACAAAAGGUUUCCAAAGGUCCUGAAGUAUUUGAGGCAUGAAUUACAAAAUAAAAAAGUCACAUCAGAACCCCGUUGCUCGCUGGCGUGAAGAAUUCCAUUUGGGAUAUUUGGUCCAAUUCAGCAUCAAAUUCCAUCGUCAUCCUCUUGCAGACAAUACAAGUGCAAAUACAUCUGUUGCUUGCUUACAGAGUUGGAACGGUACAAUAAAAAAACACAGA